GCCAGUAUGGUAUAGUAGUUUGAGCGUUGGACUACAGCUCUAGUGACCAGGGUUCAAAUCCCUCUUGGCC